rnacentral:misc_RNA from 1 species
UCGCUCUUUCUUUAAUACCACCGCACACCAGCACUCCUCUCCUUCUUCUUCGCUCUACUCUAACAAAGAAAGCGGGAGCGCCUCUCUCUCUGUCGUGCUGCUCUUGCUUUGCACAUAAACCUGCGUUCCUCUUGAGUGUGUCUUUCUCCUGCUCUCUCUCAGUGUGCUGCCUCUCUCCCGCUCCUGUCUCCCUCCCUGCCCUCCACACUACCCUACGGCAGUGACACCGACGCUUCGCCCGCUACUUCAACUCAACCUUCUAACAAAAAACAACAACAGCAUGGCGGCAGAAGUCCCGGCGCAGCCUCAGGCAGCUCUGGAAGCUCCGCUGCCGGAGCCAGAGCAGCCGUCUUCGUCGGAACUGGACGCUGAUCCAACGGUUCAGUCCGCCAUCCGCUUCUUGCAAGAUUCACGCGUGCGGCGCUCGCCGGUCGAGUCGCAGAUCCGUUUCCUCAAGGGUAAAGGCGUGCCAGAUGAACAGAUAAAGUACGCCCUCGCCAAGGUAGGAAGGGCAGUCACAGCGGAGAAGAUUGCCUCUGUUCGUGCCCCGCCCGCCAACGCAGCACCAACCGGUGCCACGGCGACGGCGUGUACCACCCCUCUUUCUGCACAGCUCAAGACGGCGCGGCAAAACGCGCCAGUGACCAUGACGCCAGGUCCGCAGUACACACAAACGCUGUUUCCUCACUCGCCCCCACCACCGCAGGUGGAGCGGCAGACGAAGACAGUGGACUGGCGUGACGUCGUGAUUGGCGCCGGCGCCGCCAUGCUUUCCGGGUUUUCUGCGUACAAACUCUUCAACCGGUACUCCCCUUACGAAUUUCGUCGCAAGACGGAUAAGAAGUCGCGGCUGUAUCGCGGGUCCUCCUCACGGCCCCGCUCCGCCAACAUCGCGUCUUCGGGGAGCGAAACCGAUGCGUCAUCAACGCCGCAGCGUGGCUGUGUGCCUCCGCUGCCGCCACCACCACCGAUGGCUGCCGCUGCUGAGCCAAGUGUGUCGGCUGCCUCACCAGCCGCCCUCACUGAGGAGGUGAAGAGGCUGCAGACGGAGCUGGACGAGGCCAAGGAGGCGCUGGCUAAUGAGCGGAAAAAAUGCGCCGACCUCGCCGUGAGCGCGGCGAAGAUCCGCGCGGACAAGCAGCAGCUGAGUAGGGCCAACGAUCGCCUCACACAGCAGAUUGACGGUCUCAAGAAGGAUAUAGAAAAGCUGGAGAGGGAGAAGAGCUCUGCCGUCGGCGAGGCGACGCAGACGACAGCGGAAGGGGCAGUGGCGGCGGCCCCUGGGCCUCCCUCGACGUACUUCCCAUCGGUGACGACGGAGGGCGAGCAGGCGCGAAAUUCACCAGAGGUGACAUCGGUGACGAGCGCAUCCGCGCCGAAUUCUGACGUGGUGCCCGUUCUACCCGUCGUGCCAUCACCCGAGGCGCCAGCGACCGCUACUGCCGCUCCUGCCAUGCCGGACCCCAUCACAGAGGCUGUCCAGGUUGCACCCGCAUCCGCCGCCGCUGUUGCGCCGGCUCCUGAGUUACCCCCGGUUGUCGUUGCGGCGUCCACCCCGUACGCGGAUGCCGCAGCUCCUGUCGCUACUGUCACGGAGGUGGCUGCGCCCCUGCUUCCCAUCGGCGGCGCAGAGCCGCCGAAGGCAGGUGACGGCACUCCGAUGUCGAUUGGCUAAGCCGGUUGUAGGUCUGUCGUGUCCACGAUCGCAGAGCAUCUUGUCUCUGCUUUCCACCGGUUCGCCUGCAAGAGGUGCGUAUGAGUGCGUGUGUGUGUUUGUGUGCACGCCAUUGUGUCUUGGCGUCAAAGGAACGUGCUGCCACGGCAGAUGGACGCGGGAGCGUGAGAGACGCGCGGGUAAGGUGGAAAGGUCGAUUGCCACUGCCACCAGAAGACACUCAACCACACACGUGCCAUUCUACUCUCAGGACAAAGGUCUCUGUCCCUCUCUGUAACUCGGCAACUAUAGCAGUAUGAUCAAGGGCAUCGUGACGAACACAGCGACUGCAUCCACGCGGUGGGCACAGAGCUUGGCUCACGGCUCUUUGUGGCAGCCUAUAUGUACGCGAACAUUUCCACAGUGACGUGAACGUCCCAGUGACCAUCACCGAAGUCUCGCUUCCACCAAUCGAUUCAACGUGCUGCACUGGUUCGCUUACGAAAGCGCAAAGAACGGCCGUGCGAUGAUUUGCUUGCCAGAACGACAGAGAACACGCUGCACCUCACCCGACUUGUUUCAGCGAUCCUCAGAAGCCUCGCUCUCUGUCUCCAUGUUCAUCCUUCUAACCUCCGCUGCCCUUGUUUGGUGAACUCGGAGAGGUGACUUCUCACCUCCACAUACACGAAGGCGUGCCAACGUCGAGGUUUCUCUUCACACCGUCACUCAUAUCCUCUGUGAUGGACUCACCCCGCAAG